rnacentral:lncRNA from 1 species
CUGGGUUCUGAUUUAAUUUACUUUCCAACCUUUCAAUUUCAUUUAAAAGGCUGCUGAUGGCAUCAGGUUGUAUUUUUUUAACAUCAUCAUAACAUGGCCACACUAUUUUCCUCUUUUUCUGAGAGACUGAACCAUCUGUUUGGUCAGCUUCCUCUAAAGCACUGCAUUUUGCAGCCACCAUAUUCCAGUCAUAGGAAGGACCUGUAGCCAAAAUCUCUUCUACAUAGUAAUCCCACUUUUUGAGGCUGGACAUACUUACAUUUGGUUUCAGGGCCUCUAUUUCAGUGGGAGCAUAGAGGUAAUUGAAGAAAAUAGGGCUCCUCUUGUGCAUCUUUUCAAUACAUUCCCAAAUACAAACUCCUUUUUUGUUAUGUUUAUCUCCUUUAUCUUCAAACAGUGUCCCAUGUUCUAGUCUUUCAUAGUCUGAAUCCAGAAGAAAUGUUUUAAAUCGAUUUGAUAUGUGAUGAAAAGCUAGGAACUUCAGGUAAUACUGAUUGAACUCAAACUCUGUGGGAUAUUGGUUAUGAAUCUGAUGCACACAGUCUAAGAACUGUAAGAAAAUAGGUGCAAAUCCACUACCCUGACAAUUUAGAGUCAAAUUACUUCGCUGACUGAAUUUAUGACCAAAAGAGAGCCAUUCUUUUUCCACCAGCAUUCGGAAGCCUUCAAGUGUUCUAUAGAAGGGAUCGCUGAGUAACUGUACCAGAGAUACUACUUGUGCAGUAAUAUCCC